rnacentral:rRNA from 1 species
AGAGUUUGAUCCUGGCUCAGGAUGAACGCUAGCUACAGGCUUAACACAUGCAAGUCGAGGGGCAGCAUGGUCUUAGCUUGCUAAGGCUGAUGGCGACCGGCGCACGGGUGAGUAACACGUAUCCAACCUGCCGUCUACUCUUGGCCAGCCUUCUGAAAGGAAGAUUAAUCCAGGAUGGCAUCAUGAGUUCACAUGUCCGCAUGAUAAAAGGUAUUUUCCGGUAGACGAUGGGGAUGCGUUCCAUUAGAUAGUAGGCGGGGUAACGGCCCACCUAGUCAACGAUGGAUAGGGGUUCUGAGAGGAAGGUCCCCCACAUUGGAACUGAGACACGGUCCAAACUCCUACGGGAGGCAGCAGUGAGGAAUAUUGGUCAAUGGGCGAUGGCCUGAACCAGCCAAGUAGCGUGAAGGAUGACUGCCCUAUGGGUUGUAAACUUCUUUUAUAAAGGAAUAAAGUCGGGUAUGCAUACCCGUUUGCAUGUACUUUAUGAAUAAGGAUCGGCUAACUCCGUGCCAGCAGCCGCGGUAAUACGGAGGAUCCGAGCGUUAUCCGGAUUUAUUGGGUUUAAAGGGAGCGUAGAUGGAUGUUUAAAGUCAGUUGUGAAAAGUUUGCGGCUCCACCGUAAAAUUGCAGUUGAUACUGGAUGUCUUGAGUGCAGUAGAGGCAGGCGGAAUUCCGAGUGUAGCGGUGAAAUGCGUAGAUAUACGGAGGAACACCAGUGGCGAAGGCGGCCUGCUGGGCUUUAACUGACGCUGAGGCUCGAAAGUGUGGGGAGCAAACAGGAUUAGAUACCCUGGUAGUCCACGCCGUAAACGAUGGAUACUAGGUGUGGGGGGUCUGACCCCCUCCGUGCCGCAGCUAACACAAUAAGUAUCCCACCUGGGGAGUACGAUCGCAAGGUUGAAACUCAAAGGAAUUGACGGGGGCCCGCACAAGCGGUGGAGUAUGUGGUUUAAUUCGAAGCAACGCGAAGAACCUUACCAGGCCUUGACAUGGAUAUAAAUGUUCUAGAGAUAGAAAGAUAGCUAUAUAUCACACAGGUGGUGCAUGGUUGUCGUCAGCUCGUGUCGUGAGAUGUUGGGUUAAGUCCCGCAACGAGCGCAACCCUUGUCUUCUGUUACCAGCAUUAAGUUGGGGACUCAGGAGAGACUGCCGGUGACAAACCGGAGGAAGGUGGGGAUGACGUCAAAUCAUCAUGCCCCUUAUGGCCUGGGCUACACACGUACUACAAUGGCGCCUACAAAGAGCAGCGACACCGCGAGGUGGAGCGAAUCUCAUAAAGGGCGUCUCAGUUCGGAUUGAAGUCUGCAACUCGACUUCAUGAAGUCGGAAUCGCUAGUAAUCGCAGAUCAGCAUGCUGCGGUGAAUACGUUCUCGGGCCUUGCACUCACCGCCCGUCAAG